UGGUGCUUGCAUCAUGAUUUACAUUUGAGUGAGUGGCGAACUGGUGAGUAACACGUGGGAAACCUGCCCAGAAGCGGGGGAUAACACCUGGAAACAGAUGCUAAUACCGCAUAACAACUUGGACCGCAUGGUCCGAGCUUGAAAGAUGGCUUCGGCUAUCACUUUUGGAUGGUCCCGCGGCGUAUUAGCUAGAUGGUGGGGUAACGGCUCACCAUGGCAAUGAUACGUAGCCGACCUGAGAGGGUAAUCGGCCACAUUGGGACUGAGACACGGCCCAAACUCCUACGGGAGGCAGCAGUAGGGAAUCUUCCACAAUGGACGAAAGUCUGAUGGAGCAACGCCGCGUGAGUGAAGAAGGGUUUCGGCUCGUAAAACUCUGUUGUUAAAGAAGAACAUAUCUGAGAGUAACUGUUCAGGUAUUGACGGUAUUUAACCAGAAAGCCACGGCUAACUACGUGCCAGCAGCCGCGGUAAUACGUAGGUGGCAAGCGUUGUCCGGAUUUAUUGGGCGUAAAGCGAGCGCAGGCGGUUUUUUAAGUCUGAUGUGAAAGCYUUCGGCUCAACCGAAGAAGUGCAUCGGAAACUGGGAAACUUGAGUGCAGAAGAGGACAGUGGAACUCCAUGUGUAGCGGUGAAAUGCGUAGAUAUAUGGAAGAACACCAGUGGCGAARGCGGCUGUCUGGUCUGUAACUGACGCUGAGGCUCGAAAGUAUGGGUAGCAAACAGGAUUAGAUACCCUGGUAGUCCAUACCGUAAACGAUGAAUGCUAAGUGUUGGAGGGUUUCCGCCCUUCAGUGCUGCAGCUAACGCAUUAAGCAUUCCGCCUGGGGAGUACGGCCGCAAGGCUGAAACUCAAAGGAAUUGACGGGGGCCCGCACAAGCGGUGGAGCAUGUGGUUUAAUUCGAAGCUACGCGAAGAACCUUACCAGGUCUUGACAUACUAUGCAAAUCUAAGAGAUUAGACGUUCCCUUCGGGGACAUGGAUACAGGUGGUGCAUGGUUGUCGUCAGCUCGUGUCGUGAGAUGUUGGGUUAAGUCCCGCAACGAGCGCAACCCUUAUUAUCAGUUGCCAGCAUUAAGUUGGGCACUCUGGUGAGACUGCCGGUGACAAACCGGAGGAAGGUGGGGAUGACGUCAAAUCAUCAUGCCCCUUAUGACCUGGGCUACACACGUGCUACAAUGGAUGGUACAACGAGUUGCGAACUCGCGAGAGUAAGCUAAUCUCUUAAAGCCAUUCUCAGUUCGGAUUGUAGGCUGCAACUCGCCUACAUGAAGUCGGAAUCGCUAGUAAUCGCGGAUCAGCAUGCCGCGGUGAAUACGUUCCCGGGCCUUGUACACACCGCCCGUCACACCAUGAGAGUUUGUAACACCCA
rnacentral:rRNA from 2 species